GCAGGUUCGAAUCCUGCACGACCCACCAAUUUAAAGGUGGUUACUGGUAGAGAACGUGAAGGAUAACGUUGCGUUAGCAACGGCCCGAAGGGCGAGACGAAGUCCAGUCAUCCUGCACGACCCACCA
rnacentral:sRNA from 1 species